GCUGGUGUACUUUUAUUAGGGGCGCAGCAUCUUAUUUCUCCGGGACGCGCACCGGCCGCCGAGAGCGCGCACGAAGCGCCAUCACGUGGGAGGUCCCUUUAAGUUUCCAUUGACAGAGGCCUGAGCGUGUCACAUGGACAUGAUAUAAUGAAAAGGCAGGAACAGAGAGGCAGAGUGCGCUGAGCUCUGGGCAGAUGGAGAAGGGGCAGAAAUGUAGCUACGCAAUCAUCUGCCGACAGCCAGCAGCCAGCGGGGCCGAGCCGAGCCGAUCCGAUCCGGGCCGAGCCGGACUCACUGCGCCUCAUCGGACGGGACCUCUCUAUUCGCAGUUGCACCUGCCAGCUAUGACACGCACUUUGAAAGAGGAGGACAAAUCGCCUCGGUCCCGGAGCAGAAGCGGAGCGCCUUUCAGCUGUCCGCAUUCCAGGUGGUGUUGCGCACAUAGAAAUUGGAGUUGAAGUAAACAAGUGGGAAUCAGGCCUCGCGCCGGAGACUGAAACAGUGUUUUGAGGUUCAGCACGGCGCUCCGGGCUCGACUGGAAACAUCCCGCCCCUCUUUCACAAGCCCAGCCCUGAAGCUCUGUGUCCCUGUCAAGAACAAGUGAAGUUAUUGAUGAUUUUGUGUGACAAUUACUGCAAGUUCUCCAGAUUAAUCACAAUAAGCAAGCUCAUAAACAAGUUUAAUAAUAAAGUAUUGUUUUAUUGUUAAUCAGUCCCCUAACUAAUGGGCAGUGAUGCUGUAAAGUCUGAUUAAAUGUUUAUAGAUGUGACUAUGUUAAAUGUGACUAUGGCAGUUUUCUGGCUGUGAACAUAAUUUAUGAGUGUGUAGCUGUUAAGCAGCGGCCCUGUUUGUAUAAGAAAGCCAUCCAGUUUUCCUGAGGGAUGUUUGGAAACGUGCCUGUGAGAUCCCGUCAGCCCUUCAAUAUUUCAAUACUGAGGAAAACAAGAAAACCACCUGCCUGAUGCUCCGGCUAUUGCGCAAACACACACAAACACAGACACACACACACACACACACACCAGUCAACAUUUUGCUGAUUCAUAACAGGGCAGUCACAUCUGUGUGGAUAUGACACAGAGAGUUCAAACAGCCUCUAAUUUUGGCCGCAGUCUGAGUCUCAAGCAGUGAGGGGAAAUAAUUCACUGUGUUAAUGCAAGUGGCUCUUCCGGAGAUGCUUACCAGCAGCAGACGCUGACUCCCAGACUGGGCCAACUGGAGGAAGCACCAGUUGAUGUAAAAGCUUGGCAGAUGCCUACAACUGAGAAAGGAAACCAUUAAACUCAGCUUGAGAAAAUGGCUUCUUGAUGACAGAAAUGGCCAGCAUAUGCUGGUAGAGUAAUAUGAUGGUAGGAGGACAUUUUUUUUUGCUUGUCAUUGUUUGCCUUGUUGACACAUCAUCAUUUACCCUCAUCUCAACGUUCAACUUUAUACAACAGUCCACCGUUGAAUCAUCUUCAUUAUGUGAGGAUCUAACUGAUCUUCGUCAUCCUUCCUCGGCUGAUCUUAAGGCAGUACGACACAGAUGCAGGGGCGGAUCUAGAGAAAUAUUUAUGGGGGGCCCUGAGGGUGGCAUGAAGACUUUAAAGAGGUGGCAGAAAUACAGAUACGCUGAUUUAAUCACAUAUGUCAAUAU